CCAAGUCAGGCGGGACUACCCGCUGAGUUA
rnacentral:rRNA from 1 species